rnacentral:tRNA from 1 species
GCCAGUGUAUCCGAGUGGCUAAGGAGACCGCCUGCAGAGCGGCUAUUCGAGGGUUCAAGUCCCUCCACUGGCUC